AGCCUGUGUUGACUCAGAGGCCGCCUGAGGCACAGUCCUCCUGCAGCCACCCCGGGGCUGGGUCUCCCUCUGCGGCCCUCCAGCUUGGAACCAGGCUGAUAAGGCAGCCUUGCACGCCGAGGAGAACUUGUCCUCCAAACAAGCGUGACACUGCUGUGGGCUUCUCAACGAACGAGUGAGGGCUAGGUAAAGCCUGGUCGUCCUGGGAAUUGUGGCGCCCUUCGGACGCCCUUGCUACAGGCCCGCGAGGAUCAUCCGGGGGGAUCGAGGCAGACCUGCUUUUUGAUUUUGCUCGGAGCACAGGCUGGAGAUAUCUGAGUGGACAUCAAGGCUUCCGAAACGCUUGGGUCGCUUUUUCUUUUCACGACUGUUUCUGCUACGUGAUCCAUCAGAAUCCAGGCAUAAUUGGCAGGAUAUGGGCUAGUUUAAUCGCUUCUUGAUGAUUCUAUUAAAAUUGAUGAAAAAUCACAUCUGUUAAUCUUGCAUGACGACAGCUUAUGUAAUUGCUCAUGUACAAAUAAAGGCGGCUGAUUUUGCUCUGUGUUGAAGAGCCUUGCUCUUCUUCCCUCCUAACCCCACUGUGGUUCUCCGAGUCUUUCUUCUUCACCGCCUGCCUUCCUCUCUCCUCAGGUUGUUGGUCCCAGAAGCUGAGGCUGGACUGUGGCACACCCACUUCUCAAAGGAUGGUGUUUACAGCUAGUCUUUCUGAGUCCCCCAGACAGAAAAAACAAGAACCCUCCUUCCUCUGACAAGCGCCUCUGGGUAACACCCG